UAUCCAGCAAGCAACAUCCACA
rnacentral:miRNA from 1 species